rnacentral:misc_RNA from 1 species
UCCCCACUAUUGAAAGCUUAUAUGAAGAUGAGGGGUUUGAACAGAGACACCUUGCCGCAUUGGUUCUUUCAAAGGAAUUCUACUACCUUGGUGAUCUUAAUGACUCACUAUCGUAUGCACUUGGUGCUGGGCCCCUGUUUGAUGUUACUGAAGACAAUGAUUAUGCUCUUACCCUACUUGCUAAAGCCCUAGAUGAAUACGCAAGUUUCAGGAGCAAAGCUGCCAAACCUAGUGAAGAUGAAGCUAAGAUGGAUCCCAGAUUGGAGGCGAUAGUGGAAAGAAUGCUAGACAAAUGUAUCUCGGAUGGAAGAUUCCAGCAAGCGAUCGGUAUGGCUGUUGAGUGUAG